UACGUAGGUGGCAAGCGUUGUCCGGAUUUACUGGGUGUAAAGGGCGUGCAGCCGGGCUGACAAGUCAGAUGUGAAAUCCCGAGGCUCAACUUCGGAAUUGCCUCUGAUACUGUUCGGCUAGAGAGUAGUUGCGGUAGGCGGAAUGUAUGGUGUAGCGGUGAAAUGCUUAGAGAUCAUACAGAACACCGAUUGCGAAGGCAGCUUACCAAGCUACUUCUGACGUUGAGGCACGAAAGCGUGGGGAGCAAACAGG
rnacentral:rRNA from 1 species